rnacentral:rRNA from 1 species
GAUGAACGCUAGCGAUAGGCCUAACACAUGCAAGUCGAGGGGCAUCACAUGAAGUAGCAAUACGGAUGGUGGCGACCGGCGCACGGGUGAGUAACACGUAUGCAACCUGCCUUCAACAAGGGGAUAACCCGUUGAAAGACGGACUAAUACCCUAUAACACAGGGGUCCCGCAUGGGGAUAUUUGUUAAAGGACAACCGGUUGAAGAUGGGCAUGCGUUCCAUUAGCUAGUUGGCGGGGUAAGGGCCCACCAAGGCAACGAUGGAUAGGGGAACUGAGAGGUUUAUCCCCCACACUGGUACUGAGACACGGACCAGACUCCUACGGGAGGCAGCAGUGAGGAAUAUUGGUCAAUGGACGCAAGUCUGAACCAGCCACGUCGCGUGAAGGAAGACGGCCCUACGGGUUGUAAACUUCUUUUAACGGGAAUAAAGUGCCCCACGCGUGGGGUUUUGCAUGUACCGUAUGAAUAAGGAUCGGCUAACUACGUGCCAGCAGCCGCGGUAAAAUCACACUACA